rnacentral:rRNA from 1 species
GAUGAACGCUGGCGGCGUGCCUAAUACAUGCAAGUCGAGCGAACAGACGAGGAGCUUGCUCCUCUGACGUUAGCGGCGGACGGGUGAGUAACACGUGGGUAACCUACCUAUAAGACUGGGAUAACUUCGGGAAACCGGGGCUAAUACCGGAUAAUAUAUUGAACCGCAUGGUUCAAUAGUGAAAGACGGUUUUGCUGUCACUUAUAGAUGGAUCCGCGCCGCAUUAGCUAGUUGGUAAGGUAACGGCUUACCAAGGCAACGAUGCGUAGCCGACCUGAGAGGGUGAUCGGCCACACUGGAACUGAGACACGGUCCAGACUCCUACGGGAGGCAGCAGUAGGGAAUCUUCCGCAAUGGGCGAAAGCCUGACGGAGCAACGCCGCGUGAGUGAUGAAGGUCUUCGGAUCGUAAAACUCUGUUAUUAGGGAAGAACAAAUGUGUAAGUAACUAUGCACGUCUUGACGGUACCUAAUCAGAAAGCCACGGCUAACUACGUG